UUCCUCAAAACUUUGAGAUAUGGAUAGGGAACGACACAAAAUCAUUGUGGGAAUGUGAUGCAAAUGGAUUCCGGGAGAUUGUAAUUAAAAUUGAUAAUGAAGGUUCAAGCUUGGUGAAGAAAUGCGGGUUGCGUGUUGUAUACAAGAAAGACAUUGAAGAUUUCAAUAGUUCUAUGGUUCAGUGUAGCAACAACAGCAUCAUUCCUUAUGAGUUUUGAAAGAGACCCUGAAUUUAUGGCCCAUGGUAAAUAUUCUGAGUCAAGUCAGUACAAGGAAUGUAAAUAUUUACAUGUUAACUAACAGUUCAAAAACGAAGAAAAGCCUCAACAACAACAGGAUAAGCAAGUCCACACCUUUAGAGAGUGUUCCAACUGGCAACCAACCAUGUUGGUUGAGAGCUGCAAGGGUAAGAGAAGGAAAGGGGAUCCAAUUUCUUUUUGUAAAAAUAGAGGUCCAUGUCUGUGGCUGGUUGUUUCAGCUGGGUUGAUAAAUAUUCUAUUCUGACAGCAGCUUUAUUGGUUUUUUUAUUGAGGAUUGUUGAUGAUUCUAGCUUUGGGAUUCCUCUCUGUUAGUAUUCUUAGAAGCAACAAAGAGGUGGCAGAGUUACCUAAUAGAGAGGCUGUGAUGAAGGACAUUCAGUAUUUUACAAAUGUUUGGGAUUGACAGGUAGACACAGACGUUUUGGCAGAGCCUUGAUCUCUAGCAACCAUUGUCCUUAAGUCUUUAUGAGCAUUAGCUUGGAUAACAGAUAGAGAACUCCUAAUCUUUUCUUCUUGUGCUGUUUUGGUUCCUUUGUUUCAAUGCACCAAAAAAAGAAUGGCAAGAAAAGGUUUUUGUUGGUGUCUUAAAAAGCAAUAGAAAUCAUGUGCUGGAAGGCAAGUAAAUAUCAAAACUGUAAAGCUUUCAUUGCCAAAGGUAUUAUUAAUUUAUAGUUUUAUCCCAUAUUUCCAUUCAAAAUUAUGCAUAUUUGUUGUCCUCAUUUUAGUAGUCCGUAACCGCAAGCUGAUUGGUAAGAAAAGGCAUGACAAAUUGACAGGUAAUUCAAAAUGAAUAAACUAGAAUUCUAAUUCUUAUAUUUUUCCUUAUUUAAGUAUAAUUUGGUUUCUUUAAUUUAAAGUAUGAAAAAGGGGUUUUAUUUGUUUAGAACUAUUAAAAGGCUUUCUUGUUUCUUCUUGUCAUCUAGAAAUCUGGUUUGGUUAGAUCUGUCCAUUAGAAUUGAUUUCAUUCAGCCUUAGUCGAUUCAGGCAUGGAUCAAGAGCUGGCUGAAGGGUAUCAGUGGCAAUUUAGAAAACUUAAAGUACUUCUCAGAUUAGUGUGUCUCUAUUUUAUGGUCUAUUUGGACUUAUAGUAGGAACAAGGAAACUUUGAAGGGAGAUCCUUUCCCUGCCACUAAUGUGGUCAUGUAUAGUAAAACUUUGAUUUUCUAUGUGCAGGGUAACUAACAGUUCAAAAUAAAGAAACAGUGGAAACAUAAGUCAAGACCUGUAUAGUAUUCUUAGAAGUAACAAGAGAUGGUAGAGCUGAUGAAGGACAUUUAGCAGUUUACAAAUGUUUGGCUUCGGACAGGUAGACAUAUGUCUUCUGGCAUAGCCUCAAUCUCUAGCAACCAUUUCUCCUAACUUCAUUAUGAACAUUAGCAUGGAUAGCAAACAGUGGACUCCUAAUCUGUACACUUUUAUUCUAGUGCUGUUUUUUGUUCCUUUUUGUCAAUCUACAACAAAAAAAAUGUUUGUUCA